CGCUGGCGGCGUGCCUAAUACAUGCAAGUCGAACGCACUCUCGUUUAGAUUGAAGGAGCUUUGCUCCGUGAUUGAUAAACAUUUGAGUGAGUGGCGGACGGUGAGUAACACGUGGGUAACCUGCCCUAAAGUGGGGGAUAACAUUUGGAAACAGAUGCUAAUACCGCAUAAAACCUAACACCGCAUGGUGUAGGGUUGAAAGAUGGUUUCGGCUAUCACUUUAGGAUGGACCCGCGGUGCAUUAGUUAGUUGGUGAGGUAAAGGCUCACCAAGACCGUGAUGCAUAGCCGACCUGAGAGGGUAAUCGGCCACACUGGGACUGAGACACGGCCCAGACUCCUACGGGAGGCAGCAGUAGGGAAUCUUCCACAAUGGACGAAAGUCUGAUGGAGCAACGCCGCGUGAGUGAAGAAGGUUUUCGGAUCGUAAACUCUGUUGUUGGAGAAGAAUGUAUCUGAUAGUAACUGAUCAGGUAGUGACGGUAUCCAACCAGAAAGCCACGGCUAACUACGUG
rnacentral:rRNA from 1 species